rnacentral:rRNA from 1 species
AUUGAACGCUGGCGGCAGGCCUAACACAUGCAAGUCGAGCGGAUGAAGGGAGCUUGCUCCUGGAUUCAGCGGCGGACGGGUUAGUAAUGCCUAGGAAUCUGCCUGGUAGUGGGGGAUAACGUCCGGAAACGGGCGCUAAUACCGCAUACGUCCUGAGGGAGAAAGUGGGGGAUCUUCGGACCUCACGCUAUCAGAUGAGCCUAGGUCGGAUUAGCUAGUUGGUGGGGUAAAGGCCUACCAAGGCGACGAUCCGUAACUGGUCUGAGAGGAUGAUCAGUCACACUGGAACUGAGACACGGUCCAGACUCCUACGGGAGGCAGCAGUGGGGAAUAUUGGACAAUGGGCGAAAGCCUGAUCCAGCCAUGCCGCGUGUGUGAAGAAGGUCUUCGGAUUGUAAAGCACUCUAAGUUGGGAGGAAGGGCAGUAAGUUAAUACCUUGCUGUUUUGACGUUACCAACAGAAUAAGCACCGGCUAACUUCGUG